UCGACCGUUGCGUCUGCCCACCCUCUUGACAUCACCGUCCUCGGCCUCCUCCGCCCGCUAACCGCUGACCCGAGUGCACCCGAUCCUUGGACCACAUCCACUCUCCUCGUCUCCGGCGUCACCAGCUAUUCCUUCCUUGCUGCCGAGGCCGCCGUGCUUCUGCUUGUCUCUGUUGCUUCUCCCAUCGCCUUUCAAGCCGUUAAGCAGAUCCACCGCGUCCAAAGUGAUCAACACCAUCACCUCUUCGAUGCACAGAGCACGCGUUCCAAUUUGGUCUUAGUCGUGCAUAGGCUUAUGGUGGUUUAUGGUGCUUUUCCUGACAGAUACGCCUUCCCGGUUUUGUUCUCUUUAUGUAGAAUGCUUGUUCAUGUGCGUACGGUCCGUGGGGAAUACAUCGAAGCAGGGCUUCUGUUUGAUGAAAUGCUCAUCAGAGACGUGUUCUCCUGGGUCGGUUGGUCUCGGGGUAUGUGAAAGGUGGGUUAUUUGGUAUGCCACUGGAAUUGAUAGCUUUGAAGGACGUGGAGCAGGACGAUGUGACUCUGCAUAGGUCUCUCUUAAUCAGAAUUGAGUAACUCCUGAACAGUUGCAGUUCAAAGAAGACCAUCACAUCCAUCCGCUGACGGCUUGGUACCUUUCAAGCAAGAUAAGGUUUAUGAGCCCCCGUAUGGAUUUUUAAUGAUUUUUUGUGUUAUUUCUUAAUACAAACACUCCAAAAGGUCAGUUUGCUUUUUGAUAUCUUUUUCUUUAUAGGACUCUGAUAAAUGGAGUUGACAUUAAUUUGUAUGUUUUGCCAAUGUCUCAGUGGUUCUGGAUUAAAUUUUCUUUUUCUUCCUUCUAGAUUAAGUUGAACAAUUACAGAUCAGAGCUCAGCUAAUUUCUCUUAAUUUUAGAACUAAUUCUAUUUUACAGAAGUAUUUGUAGAGGAAACAUUUGUGGCUUUCAAAUUUAAGGAACUUAAGUAUGAACAAAAUCAAAUGCAAGUAAAAGCUCAUCGAGGAUGUAUUUUAGGAGAUUGUAUUAUGAGAGAAUUUGUGAUUGUGACAGAAGAAAUGAAGGUUGUGAUUGAAGGGUUGAACUGACCAAUAAAUCGGUGCCAUUACCGAUCCUAACAGAACUAGGCCUUAUUCAAUUUUCUAACUACUGUGCUGGUCUCUCUACAUGACUUCAUGACAGGAAGGGCUGAAGUGACCUGGAAAUUGUUAAGGCCAGUAAAGAGGUGAUUAUUUUCUCCUGGUUUAAUGCAAUGAUGCUAAUAACUGAAUUACCAUCAAGCCAUCUGGGAUAUGUCAAUUGGUGUUUGGUAUCAUCAAAAUCCUUUCAGAUCCCCAAAAACAAUGUGCAGUUCCAAAUGAUGAUUCCUUGGAAGUUUAGGCAGGUGUUUUAUAUAUAUUUAUAUAUAUAUAUUUAUUUAUCUGAUGUACCUUCUUCCACCACAUCCAUUCUCCCUCUGGCAGUUGAAGAACAUUGCAGCUACAGGAUCCCCAAGGUUAAAAGCUGCUGCAAAAUCCCGCGUGUUGAAGUUCUGUCUCCAUCCAGGUGCAUACAUGGUUUGGCAGACAGAUUGCCGGAACAGAAUGAACACGAAGCGAUGGAUCCCAGCAGUUGGCCGUGGGCUCUCAUAGGAGACAAUCUCGUUGCCUAAAACACAAGGUGAUCUAUGUUUCCCAUUUUCCAUUCAAGGCCAAACAUUACCAACUGUCAAUCUAAUAGAAAGAGAAUUAUAUGUCAGCUUCCAAGGUUUAUGUACCAUCAGAGACAUCUGAGAUCUGUGGAAGUAAAGAAUGGCUUGAACAAGCUUUCGGUCAAACAGAUUCUCUGCAAUCAACAGCUAGUCAUGAUGUGCAAACCCUAGCUAUGAGAUGCUUGGGAUAUCCCAAGCUGAUAUGCUGAGAUAGUAUUUUAUUGGACUUGCUGUUAUAACUAUCAAAACCAGCAUCCACAGAAGGAUUAUAUUCCUUUGGCUUCUAUUUUAUUGUAGAAUCUGCACUGUAAUCAGAGGACAAGAUGCAAUCUUAGUAGGCAAUAAAUACAUAGGUGCUCUUAGGAUUGUUGACUAGAUGAUAUAUUCUCAAGGAACAUUACUACACCAAAAAGUAUACAAAAGCAGCCAGAUGUUGAUUCUCCAAACAGAGCAUAUCAAGACUAAAGCAAUGGAAGCCCAGACUAAAACCAAACUCUUGCUUGCUUACCGCAGAUCCUUGUUUGAAAAGAUUGAAAUAUUGGAGGCAACUGCAAUGUGGCUGAAACAAAUAUAUAUUCUUCCCAGAUAAAAGUUUCAGAGCUGCAACAGCUAAUUUAGUAUUCCAUCACAAGCUUGUCAGUGUAUGCAGCAGAUGAUAAUUGGAAUCAAGAGGCAACCUUAUGCCUUGUUUAUGUUGCAGUCACCUUGACACUAACUUUCUUUUACCAUCGCUGGAGGAUGCUAUAACAAUUUUGUGCUCGAGGAAGCUCUACCAUUGAUUUGUAUCACAACUCAUCAGCAGGGCAUUUCUCAUGAACUUCUCGAUCAAACUAUUAGUAGAAGAGAUAUUUUAGUUGUUCUAUUUUGGAAGAAUAGCCACAGAGCUAAAUGUAAGACUAAUAUAUCAGAAGAUUGCAGACAGGGAUUAUAUCCAUUUUUGAGUUGAAGGAAUAAUGGU